rnacentral:lncRNA from 1 species
GAAUCGCGAGUUUGGUGACGGUAGCUACGAAUUUUUGAUUCUCUUCCUUCUCCUUCGAUCUUUGUUCCUUCUUCCAGCUUCGUUUCCUUUGUUUCGGAUAAACUGGUUUGUUUGAUGGUUAUAUGAGGUAGAUGAUGAUGGUGAUGGUUGUUAAUGGAAGAUGAAAGAAACUGGGGAGGGAAAGGAAAAAACACAGCAAUGCUGCGUUGUUGUUGUUGUUGUUGUUCUGUUUUCUCGCUCUUUUGGUUCUGUCUUGAGUGUGAUUUUUUUGUAUAUCUCCCCCCGUGUAAAAAAAACUCUCUUGUUGUUUAUAUAAAAAGGAAUUGGCUUUGAUGUUGAUUGAUUAAUUUUGGAAUGGAAUUGUAUGAGUUGAAUGCAAUUUAUGAAUGAAUGAAGAACUUCCCCUUUGGGUUUUGAUUUGUUUUUUCAUCUGAUUCAAUGUGAUU